rnacentral:rRNA from 1 species
UUUACAGUAUAGAUCUUUUUUUAUUUAAAGUUUAAAUUUAUAUUUUUAGUAAGAAUACUAAAGUGAAAAAAGGGGACGAUAAGACCCUGAAAGCUUAAAGUUAAAAUUAUAAAUAUUUUUAUUUAAAGUUAUAGUGUUUCUAUUAGCUGGGGAAGUUUUUGUAAUGUAUCUAUAAUUAGUUAAUACGUUGUUUUUAUGGUCCUUUACAUAAGGAAAAUUAGAAAAAGUUACUUCAGGGAUAACAGCAUAAUAAUUUUGUAGAGCUCUUAUCGAUAAAAUUGAGUAUGACCUCGA